rnacentral:lncRNA from 1 species
AUUGGCACACACGAUCUAAUGCAACAAAGUACAAUGUUUAUACAUUGGCUUGGUACAUUCACUGAUCAAACGUGUAAAGUUAGUAUUAAUUCUUGAAUAAACACCGACUUCACGUUUCAAAUCCAAUUAACGUUGAUCGAUUCCCGAACGUGUAACAGGAAGAUGUGCUCGAAGUGGAUGUAUACGCAUCGAAUCACGAAUCAUUACGUUGAAAAUCAGCCUCGUCGAACUGUAACUGUGCCGCGGUCAACUAAUAAUCAAUUCGUGCCCUUCAACGGUCGCAAUAAAUUUAUUAACGGCGGAGUCGGCCGACAGAACGAUCGUUCCUCGCCAUUAUGGAUCGAUGUGUGCGCAAGCGUGACAAACAUCGAGAGGAUUGGAUCUCGAUGUAUGGCGAGUUGAUUGCAUUUGCAUACAUCCAUUACGCGAACAUUCGGAAAAAUGGGAUUUCUUUUGAAGAUUGGAUGCGUGGCUUCCUGCGUAUCUUUCGCUGGAUACACAGUUACAACGUAGCGACGCGAUUUAUUCGUGUUUUUUUUUUUCAUCCUCGCUUACGCCACUCGUGAUCGAAGACUUCGAUGUUCAACUUAGAUGUCAUAAAUCACGCGGUAGCUUGAUUUCAAGCUAGGUGAAAUGAUUGGUUAAAUAAAAUUAUUCGAACCAAAGAGAGAGAGAAAGAGAGAGAGAGAGAGAAGAAUUUGUCGUUAUAUUGAAAAUCAUAUCGUUGUUAGGUUAGGUUACAGAAGAAAGAAGCAUCGGGAUAAGUGAAAAAGGAUUGGAGAGGGAUAAGUCGAAGCAUCGAAAAGAGGUUUCACGAGCAGGACGUUGUUUCGUCGGUAUUAUUACGCCACACAAAAUUGGUCAAUCACAACGAAUACAAGUAAUUUACGUCAAAUGAACCUCACCAGGAAACUGUCCCGACUUGGAGCGUGACCGUUGUACGAUCUAUCGAUCCUGGUAUUAACCGAGGGAUCCAUUAUGUUGCAGCCUCACCAUCUAUGCAAAAAGAAUCUCGUGUAUCGUAAAAGCUUAUUACAUGUGCAUCUACGUUUACUUUUUAACGUGAAAGUAUUUUAUGAAAUAAUCGUACAUCUAUAAAUCAUCGCCUAUUAUAUUGAAAUUUUUUUUUUUUUUCAUUUUUAUUUAUAGAAUCUCUAUUUUUGAGAAACGAGUAUGGAAUCAAGAUUUUGUAUAAGAAAAAGGAAAUGGUUCUCGAAUCGAAGUCAAUAUAUUUAUUUGAUUUCAUUUACAUGCAAGCAGGUUAAAUGAAGCUAACUCCAAGAUUUAUAAAAAACAUAUCAUUGAAUUUCCCUUUUCGUCACGCAAAAAACAAGAUUCGUUCGCUGGCGAGAGAAUAAACAAUACGACAAAAAAUUGUAGAGAUUCUUUAGUUAGAAGAAAAAAAAAAGAAGAAAAGAGAAAAAUAAUUCUCGAGAAGCUUACUGCCGACGACAGUACCCUUUUACAAAUUAAUGCGCGCUCGUGGGCGUAGACCCCGCCACAUCUCGUGCACACGCACACGUUUUUCGUGAUGGGUCGGGCACGAUGGGGAGGAAUCGGCUCAUUUGUUGCGUAUUAGCGGAGGAUAAUUAGGUUUCUCGAAGCUGCCGCCUUUUGCGAACCAAGCGACUUCAAGAGUCUUCCGAAAAACGAGAAGAGGGAAACGAAUGAGGUACGCCUACCCCUGGAAAUUUUCGUCGUGAGAAGGAAAAUCUCGAAAAUCACCGGUUGCCGGCCGAAAAUUAAUCGAUUCCGAUGAUUCUACCAUUUUCCUUGUCGAUACAAUAAAAAAAACAAACAAGUUCGACUUAUAAUUGCAUUGUCUAUCCUCAUUGAACAAAUACUUGUUGUUACAUU